UGGGGAAUUUUGCACAAUGGGGGAAACCCUGAUGCAGCGACGCCGCGUGAUUUAGAAGGCCUUCGGGUUGUAAAAAUCUUUUCUAUGGGAAGAAAAUGACAGUACCAUAGGAAUAAGGACCGGCUAAUUACGUGCCAGCAGCCGCGGUAAUACGUAAGGUCCGAGCGUUGUCCGGAAUCAUUGGGCGUAAAGGGUACGUAGGCGGGUAAGCAAGUUAGAAGUGAAAUCCUAUAGCUCAACUAUAGUAAGCUUUUAAAACUGCUCAUCUUGAGGUAUGGAAGGGAAAGUGGAAUUCCUAGUGUAGCGGUGAAAUGCGCAGAUAUUAGGAGGAAUACCGGUGGCGGAGGCGACUUUCUGGCCAUAACCUGACGCUGAGGUACGAAAGCGUGGGUAGCAAACAGG
rnacentral:rRNA from 1 species